rnacentral:rRNA from 1 species
UACGUAGGGUGCAAGCAUUGUUCGGAAUUAUUGGGCGUAAAGAGCUCGUAGGCGGCUUGUCGCGUCGGAUGUGAAAGCCCGGGGCUUAACUCCGGGUCUGCAUUCGAUACGGGCAGGCUAGAGUUCGGUAGGGGAGAUCGGAAUUCCUGGUGUAGCGGUGAAAUGCGCAGAUAUCAGGAGGAACACCGGUGGCGAAGGCGGAUCUCUGGGCCGAUACUGACGCUGAGGAGCGAAAGCGUGGGGAGCGAACAGG